rnacentral:rRNA from 1 species
GGGCCCGCACAAGCGGUGGAGCAUGUGGUUUAAUUCGAUGAUACGCGAGGAACCUUACCAGGGCUUAAAUGUAGUGGGACAGGUCUAGAGAUAGACCCUUCUUCGGACUCAUUACAAGGUGCUGCAUGGUUGUCGUCAGCUCGUGCCGUGAGGUGUCAGGUUAAGUCCUAUAACGAGCGCAACCCCUAUUCUUAGUUGCCAGCGGGUAAUGCCGGGAACUCUAAGGAGACUGCCAGCGCAAGCUGCGAGGAAGGUGGGGAUGACGUCAAAUCAUCAUGCCCCUUACAUCCUGGGCUACACACGUACUACAAUGGCCGGUACAGAGAGCAGCCACUACGCGAGUAGGCGCGAAUCUUCAAAGCCGGUCUCAGUUCGGAUCGGAGUCUGCAACUCGACUCCGUGAAGCUGGAAUC